AGGAGACUGCUAAAUUCAAAACAAUCUCUGGGAGCGAAACUAUGAAGACUCAACAUUUGACAGAAUAAAUCAGCAUCUUGAGAAGGCUGGGUAUUGAGGAAACCCCGUGCUUGAGACCAGAAACAGAACCUGCUCAUCCAGCACUUGGUAUCUAAGGACUGACAGACGUUUUGACCAGUAGGAUUUCUCCCGGAGGAGGAUAAAGGUACGCCGGUGUUUCAAUCAGGGGUCAAAUAACACAAGAAUCAGAUGCCGACUCAGGU
rnacentral:lncRNA from 12 species